GUGAUGUGUAAGUGAGCACAGGAAGAUGUUUAGCAUUUAGGUCAGUUGGAGUCUCCUAGCUCUAGGCAGAGCUGGGAUUUAACCACAAGUCGGCCUCUCUUCAAAGCCUACCCCUAGUACCAACAGGCUCACCUGCUCCCCAGCCCCUUCUCACUAUGUGAGCUUCGGGCUUCCCCAUUCUCCUGCUAGGGUCCAGUUCUCUCUCGGGUCCAUUUGCCCUUCAUUCUUGUUCUCUCUCCUCCCUAGAGCCAGAGCAGACGUCUCCAUUCGGGACUCCUUACUCUUCA
rnacentral:lncRNA from 1 species